rnacentral:tRNA from 1 species
UAGCUUUGUGGUAGAGUACUCACCUCACAUGUGAGAGGCCCUGGAUUCAAUCCCCAG